AUUGAACGCUGGCGGCAUGCCUUACACAUGCAAGUCGAACGGCAGCACGGGAGCAAUCCUGGUGGCGAGUGGCGAACGGGUGAGUAAUAUAUCGGAACGUGCCCAGUAGUGGGGGAUAACUGCUCGAAAGAGCAGCUAAUACCGCAUACGACCUGAGGGUGAAAGCGGAGGAUCGCAAGACCUCGCGCUAUUGGAGCGGCCGAUAUCAGAUUAGCUAGUUGGUGGGGUAAAAGCUCACCAAGGCGACGAUCUGUAGCUGGUCUGAGAGGACGACCAGCCACACUGGGACUGAGACACGGCCCAGACUCCUACGGGAGGCAGCAGUGGGGAAUUUUGGACAAUGGGCGCAAGCCUGAUCCAGCCAUGCCGCGUGCGGGAAGAAGGCCUUCGGGUUGUAAACCGCUUUUGUCAGGGAAGAAACGGCUCCUACUAAUACUGGGGGCUAAUGACGGUACCUGAAGAAUAAGCACCGGCUAACUACGUGCCAGCCGCCGCCGUAA
rnacentral:rRNA from 1 species